GAUGAACGCUGGCGGCGUGCCUAAUACAUGCAAGUCGAGCGAACAGACGAGGAGCUUGCUCCUCUGACGUUAGCGGCGGACGGGUGAGUAACACGUGGAUAACCUACCUAUAAGACUGGGAUAACUUCGGGAAACCGGAGCUAAUACCGGAUAAUAUAUUGAACCGCAUGGUUGAAUAGUGAAAGACGGUAUUGGUGACACUUAUAGAUGGAUCCGCGCCGCAUUAGCUAGUUGGUAAGGUAACGGCUUACCAAGGCAACGAUGCGUAGCCGACCUGAGAGGGUGAUCGGCCACCCUGGAACUGAGACACGGUCCAGACUCCUACGGGAGGCAGCAGUAGGGAAUCUUCCGCAAUGGGCGAAAGCCUGACGGAGCAACGCCGCGUGAGUGAUGAAGGUCUUCGGAUCGUAAAACUCUGCUAUUAGGGAAGAACAAAUGUGUAAGUAACUAUGCACGUCUUGACGGUACCUAAUCAGAAAGCCACGGCUAACUACGUG
rnacentral:rRNA from 1 species